rnacentral:rRNA from 1 species
AUUGAACGCUGGCGGCAGGCCUAACACAUGCAAGUCGAACGAGUGGCGGACGGGUGAGUAAUGUCUGGGAAACUGCCUGAUGGAGGGGGAUUACUACUGGAAACGGUAGCUAAUACCGCAUACCAUCAGAUGUGCCCAGAGGGGAUUGGCUUGCUGGUGGGGUAACGGCUCACCAAGGCGACGAUCCCUAGCCGGUAUGAGAGGAUGACCCGCGACACUGGAACUGAGACACGGUCCAGACUCCAACGGGAGGCAGCAGUGGGGAAUAUGUCACAAUGGGCGCAAGCCUGAUGCAGCCAUGCCGCGUGUAUGAAGAAGGGCUUCGGGUUGUAAAGUACUUUCAGCGGGGAGGCGUUACCCACAGAAGAAGCACCGGCUAACUCCGUGCCAGCAGCCGCGGUAAUAC